AACAGCGUUAGAUCGCGUUAAACGAACACAUCGAUAGAGGGUUCGAUGAAACAAUCGAUGGUCAUUAAGUUGUUACGGUAUCCCACCGCAGUAUCCAUAGAGUCUAACGGCAAUCUCGUUAGCUUGCGUGCCAGUUAUUGAUUACGGAUCAUAAGACACGGCGGAAGGUACGCAGCGAGGGCGUGAAGUACGAAAGAGAAAUGGUAGUUAGGAGGGAGCGGAACAAGCCACAUCGAUAGCGUUCGUUUACAGCGCUUCCACCUCCUCAGGUAAGAACACGAGGAGGUCCAACGAUCAAUAGUAGGUGUGGUUCCAU
rnacentral:misc_RNA from 1 species